UCUAUUUGCCCUUGUACAAUAAAAACGUGUUUAUAAUUUUUAUUUUAAAAAUCUGUGUGUGGCUUUUUCUAGAAAUUCGUCAACAAAGCUUAUGGGCCCAGGAAGCGAAAAAUUAAAAAAAAUAGCUGUGCCGUGAAUAAAUUACAAAUUAAACGGGUUGUGUAACGCAAACUAAAAUAAAUGUCACUGUCAAAAUGUCACCAAUAUUUCAAAUGGAAAAAUUGUAGAUAAUACAAGAAAUAUUAUUAUCUAGGAAAGCAAAUCGUGUAUUGGAUGAAGAUAUGAGUGAACCAAAACAAGCAGUUGAAGAAACUGAAGCCCUAAUAGAGGUAUCUGCUCCAGAUGAAGAUUUGAAUUUCAAUGUAUUGCGAUCUGGAAGGCAAAUUAGGAACAAUCUCAUAAAAACUGACAUUAAAGACGAUCAAAAAACUGUGGACGAAGCAUUGUCAAGAAAUGAUCACGAUAUGUGGAUUCAAUCGAUGACAGCCGAAUACUAGUCCUUAGUCGAUAAAUGAACGUGGAAAGUGGUGGAUAGUAAAUGGAGUACCUAUUGUAAAGUGUAAGUGGGUGUUCACAAAGAAACACGAUAAGAAUGGAAACGUAGAGCGUUACAAAUCAAGAUUGGUCGCGAAAGGUUGUAGUCAGAAAAAUGGUAAGGAGAAAUACUCCAACGGGGCCUUUACAACUUUCUCAAAAGAAUAUGAUUUUGGAAUUGUUAAAAGAAAAUGAAAUGGAAAACGUCAGAAAGGUUGCUACUCCAUUAGAUCCUGGUCAAAAGUUUAAUAAAUGUACAAAUAGCUGUGUUAAUUGUAAGAAAGAAAUCCUAUCAGUCUCUAAUUGGUUCCUUAAUGUAUAUUGGAUUAUGUGCAAGACCGGAUAUCCUACAUGUUGUCACGAAAUUAUCUCAAUUUAUUAUUAACGAUCCGCAUUCUGAACAUGUGAGUGGAGCUCAUCAUGUGAUAUCUAAAUGCAACCAUAAACCAAAGAUUUGAGUAUAACUGCACUGGCAAACCAUUAUAGGGAUUUGUAGAUGCAGACUGGACAGGUAGCUCAGAUGAGAGAGAAAAUCAUUCACUGGUUUUAUAUUUAUAUUGGCUGGAGCUGCUGUGAUGUUUGAAAUAAAAAAUAACCAACUGUGGCGUUAAGUAGCACCGAAGCCGAAUAUAUGGCUUUAUCUGCAGCGACUAAGGAGAUCAUUUAUAUUCGAAAUUUGCUGACUAAAAUUGGUUUUGGAAGACUUGUGAGAAAUGCAACACCAUUGUAUGGAGACAACAUUGAAUUCCAACUGAAUAGUGUUUUGCCGACCUUGUGGCCUAUAAACUGAAAAAUCGUUUUAAAUAAUGAAAUAUAAUUGACAGAAUUCAUUGGCUUUAAUAGUUUACGGAGUGAAGGAAUCGAAAGCUUAGUCGAGCUGACUUUGAAUACUCAACAUUAUGGAUUUAUGUAAAAGUUUAUACAAAGUAGCUACUAUUUCACAUGUUUUCAUCGGCCUAUAUUUGUAAAGGGUACGGAUUUAGACGACAUAAGCGUUCUUCACAUGCCAAAUAUUACCGUAAUUACGAGCCUACAUCAAUCAAGGGACAUAGAUGGCAGCAUUCGAUGUUCUUAAAAUAUUAAUAAUCAGCAAAAUUGAUUAUCUAGGGCCUCACUUCAAAGUCAAAUUGGAGAAUUGGUUGAUAUGGACCUUUUUGCACAAAAAUCGUUUCAAUGGGAGCAGUAGCUACUUAUGAAAAUAAGUAACAAUUAGUUUUGCUUAAAGAAAACGUAAUAGCACAAAAUUUCAUCCAAAUCGUUUAAUAAUUGUGGGCUCUAAAGGCCCAAUAAGUCAAAUAAGGAGGUUGGUUUAUUUGGCAGCUAUAUCGAAGCAUAGACCGAUUUGGCCCAUUUACAAUCCCAACCAACAUGCAGUAAUGAGAAGUAUUUGUGCAAAAAAAGCAGACAAAAUGACAAAUAAAUGGUUUAACAGCGAAUAACGGGAUCUAAAGCGUGAAAAAAUUCUGAAAUGCCAAAAAGUCGAAAAGUCCGAAAAGAUUCAUCAAUCGCCGGAGUAUUUAUAAACAUGCGAGAAAUAAGUAAAACAUCAAACUACAAAUGGAAAAAAGUAAAUAUAUUAACAACAAGAUUAGAAGUGCAAUCGACUAAAAAUAAAUGUGAAGAAAUAUUAAAGAUUCGGUAAUGAAAGAAACACAAGCUGUGAUAAAAUCUGUGAUAUUUAAUAAAGUAUAGUAUGUGGAAAAUAAACCCAUUGCAAACGAAAUUAAUAAUUAUUU